AGUUUGAUCAUGGCUCAGGACGACGCUGGCGGCGUGCUUAACACAUGCAAGUCGAACGGUGAAGGGAAGCUUGCUUCCCGGAUCAGUGGCGAACGGGUGAGUAACACGUGGGCAAUCUGCCCCAGACUUUGGGAUAACUACUCGAAAGAGUAGCUAAUACCGAAUAUUCAGCCUUGCAGGCAUCUGCGAGGCUGGAAAGUUUCUCGGUCUGGGAUGAGCCCGCGGCCUAUCAGCUAGUUGGUGAGGUAAUGGCUCACCAGGGCGACGACGGGUAGCCGGCCUGAGAGGGCGACCGGCCACACUGGGACUGAGACACGGCCCAGACUCCUACGGGAGGCAGCAGUGGGGAAUAUUGCGCAAUGGGCGAAAGCCUGACGCAGCAACGCCGCGUGCGGGAUGAAGGCCUUCGGGUUGUAAACCGCUUUCAGCAGGGAAGAAGCGAAAGUGACGGUACCUGCAGAAGAAGCACCGGCUAACUACGUG
rnacentral:rRNA from 1 species